rnacentral:pre_miRNA from 1 species
AUUAUACUCCCUCCGUUUCAAAUUACUUGUCGCAGAAAUGAAUGUAUCUAAAACUAAAAUACAUCUAAAUACAUCCAUACCUGCGACAAGUAAUUCGGAACGGAGAAAGUAUUAC